GUAACUUAACAAGGCUAUCACGAGUUCAACAACUUGAACUCAUCAUCCCAAAGAUCUCCCACCAUACAUGCAUAUUACAGUAAUCACAUUCGAUACACACACUUCGGAGAUAAGAGCGGAAGACUUUACAAACAUUCUUUACCUUUUCAAAACUCAAGUUUUACAUGUUUCGAAAGAGUAAUAUUUAUUACAAGUCCUGAUAUACUCAGAGUGCAUAACUUAUUACAAAAGCAGGAAGGUAGAAACCCUCCAAAGCUUAUACAUAAACCUAGCUAGUCCUUCUCCAGAACUGGAAACGCCCUCCAGCCACAGGAACUCCUAGAAUACUUCUCAUCACCUACAACAACAUGGGUUCGAAAACCCUGAGUACGGAGUGUACUUUCGCAAGUCUUACCCGACUAAGGAAAAAGACUCUCAAGGAUAUGCUGGAUUUAGGAAUCAAGGAGAGGCUUUUAGCAAGAAUCAACUUAGAUACUUUUGCAGAAAAAGCUUACUAAAGUGAGUCCUUACUUUCAAUAUUUUAAUGCCAGAUUAAAUAUUAAUAGACUCUGUUUGCAUCUAGUCUAAUUUCACCAUCUCAUCAAUACAACAUCAUUUUUAUUCAUAAUGUUCACAUCCUGACUUAGGUUGCAGGGCAGCGAUCAAGUCUCCACUCUCCGGGGAUAUAACGGCGAUCCGAAUCGAUUUACUCAGCUGAGGAUCUCUAACCACACGACAUAUGUAGCACUUAACCCUUGCAUAUGUCAACCGUUCCCACAGAUCCUCCACAACGUGAACCGGUCCGCGCUACCCGGGAGCACAGUACUCCUCCGUCCAGCCUCCAGCCAGGAGGGUACACGCUACUCCCACCAUCUCCCACGCCCAGUGCGCGGUUGUCUUUUCACGUAUGGAAUAGCCGGGUUCAAGCUUACCCUGUCCCAUAUCCAGGGCAUGUAGCCAGUUAAGAUAGUCCUUGAUCAUACAGGCCUACAUACGCAUCCAAUCCUUAAUUAACCUGGGUGGAGCAUCACCUGUUCCUAGCCCAAGUCUCGAUUUAAGUAUUUCCAUCCUUAGGAUUGUUUUGUGUUCCUUGGGAUGAGAAGAGCAUUACAGGGAACUUUGCAGUAAGAUCCCACCAUGCUCCCAAUGAAAAUAUUCUUGCAGGUAGAAGCCAUCCUUCCUCAGGACAACCCCUGAGCUAGGCAUUAUUGCAAAAGACAACUUCUAUCCACAAGAUCUAAGCAGGGCUAAGCAUUUUUGUAAACAAUAUUUGAUACUUCCAAAGAAGUAUCUAUAACAGGAAUGGAUAUCAAGGUAGUCAAUGCAUCAAAUAGUUUUCAAGCAACUCCUAUAACUUAAUGCACAUUUCACUAGACUUAAAGUGUAUAAAAGUCUUUUAAAAAUACAAGGAAAGGGGUAAAUGCACCGGGGCUUGCCUUUGUUGCAGUGAAGAGGUUCUAGAUCCCUCUACCCAACCAUCGAUUAGAUAGCUCCAUCCUCUUAAUGAGAAGACACUGGAGUAGACUCCUCUUUAGCAACCACUUCAUCUUGAAUCUUCACUCUUUGUUUUGGGAGCUCUACAUGAACAUGAAUGCUUAUGCUUAUGCUGUUUGCAAAUAAAAUACUAUAAAACAUCACAAGACUAUACUUUUUCUCAAUUCCACAUGAGGGCUCGACAUACUCCCCUACUAGGAGUUGUUCCUCUAUAAUCACUCUUUAUCUUUGUUUCAAUGGCUACUAGCUGACCCCAAACACAUCUCAAGUUGAACACCAAUUUGAGGUGAAAACACAAAAACUCAAAUUCAGGUAUCUGAAAAAGAACUGAACCGAAUUCAGUUUUAGAUACUGAAAGUUUACACAGUCGACACCACAACCAAUAUUCAGUCUCCAUUUCCCCUCAUUUUCAUUCACAUACACAAGUGAGAGCAGCAGGGGUGAUCUUCGUUAGUUUUCAAACGAAAGACUGAACCCACUUACCUUAGGCCUGCUGCCCCAUCUACACACCUCCCUGUUAAAGUCCCUGGUAUCUUAUAAUUUCAUAUGGUACAGACCAAAACUUCUUAGCCAAAGUUAUACUCCAACUUUAGCUUUACCAACUUGGUAUAACAACCCAUGAUUGAAAACAUUCAGAGCAAAUUCUAUUGUACCCCAAAGUUACCCCCACACUGAACUGCUAUUUCAGCUAACUGAAUAAAAUUCAGUCACAAUCACUCUGACAGUCCAGUUUUGGACAGCUGUUAUUUCCUACUUUAUGUGGAUUCAAGCCUAACUUACUUAAAGGGAUUUGUUCCUUAUAACAUGGUCUUGAACUCCUCUUCAUAAAUCAUGGUUCAAAACUGCAUAGAAUAGGCAGCACACAGCCUCAAAACUGCACUAAAAAUCCUGAUUUCAGAUACUAUUCACAAAUCUAAAAAAAAAUCCAGAAGUCUGACAGAGAAGAUUUGGACAUGUUUUACUCCCAAUUUUAUGCAGCACCUAGCCCAUCUCUCUUUAGUAAUCUUGUUCAUCUUACUAUGGUCUUCAAACUUGCUACAGAACUUUGGCCCAAAACCAAAUAGACUAGGCGCAACAGAGCUCCAAAGUUAGGCUCAACACACUAAAACCUAGUUUCAGCCUUAUGCACUAAGUCUGGGAUCCAGAAACCUGACAGCCUGUGUUUGAGCAAAUUUCACACCUAGUUCCAGACAACCAAUAGUGGUAGAGUUCAAGCAGUAAAUGGUGUGAGCUCCACUGACCUGAGAUGAUUACGGAACAAGCUUCAUACGGGCCAGCAACUCCUUAGGACGUCCAAGCCAUGGCGAGGUGGGAGAACUGCUGGCGCGGCCACUAGCACAGGGGAAUGGCGUGCGAUGAACUGGAGAGGGCUACAGAGACCUGCAGACUUUAGGAUCACCACCCAAAGCAGUGAACCAUGGCUAGACUCGAGGCAAGGAGGAGAGCUUCACUGAACCUGCACCUAAGGCACUGCAGAUGUAGGAAAGUGUUCACUGAACCACUACACAACUCAGUGGGGAAGUCUUCUGGGGAUGCCAGCACUGCAUGGCUAACACACAUGGCUCCCAUGCACAAACCUUGCUGGCACAGCACACAACUCACAAAUAUCACUAAAACACUGAAUCUGGUCUAUUUGAUAUGGAUAAGGAGCAAGCAGUCAAAACUGCACCUACAAACAGACACAUUCCAGCUCACCUUGAGACUUAUUAAUGGGGAGCGAGACUUCUAGUCCUCAAUGAUGCACUUCAUCCAUAUCCCAUACUCAGCUCACCAGUAUCCCAUAUCGCAGACAACAAACAAAACCAACAAAUACUCUACUGCCCACUGCUCACUGCUAAAAUAUCCCACCUAUUCACUGGAUAUGGACAGAGGUAAAGGCAGAUAAAAAAAAACCCCACGGUAGACAGGCUCAAACACAUCCAAAGGUUUGAUAUUUUCUGCAGGGGGAAAAGAUAUUCUUUAGAUAUUUUGGGAAUCUCUGAAUUGCUUUAGCUGGUCUGAUCCUCCCUGUUCAGCCCCACUUUUCUCCCCAUUCCUGUUAAGGAUAGAUCAGUCCCCUAUAAUCAAACUUGUUCACUAUCUGAGGCACUUCAAGUUUGUUUCAAGAAUCUAGGAUCCAAACUGCAUGUACUACAAGUUAUAGUGUCCAAGAAUCAGCCACCUUCCACUAAAUCUGUUUUCAGUUUUCUGAAACAGACAUCUCUCACAGACAUUUAGGCACGUUUUACUCUAAAUUUUACUUAGCAUCAAACCCACCUUCCUGUCGAAAACUUGUUCUCCUAACACCCAUGUAAACUUUUGUCACAGGGUCUUUGGCUUAUACCCACACAGAUCAAGAGUUCUGGCAUCCCAAAGUUGAGCCAAAACACUAAAAUACCCAGUUUCAAAAGUCUGAAACAGCACAGUUUAAGUCUGAUAGAGGGUUUUGCCUUCCCUUUUUCUCCAAACUCUACACAGUAACAAGUCAAUCCUUUGCAUAAAAGUUGUUUCCCUUCAUAUGGACCUUGACUUUACUACAGAACUCUUAACCAAAAUCUCCAUAUAUUAAUUAUCAUAGAGCUCCAAAACUGGGUAAAAACUCACUGAACUUCUCAGUAACAGUCAACUAAAUCAGUCCCAACUCAAUUCUGACAGGGGAAGUUUGAGGGUAUUUUACUCCCAACUUUAUAUAGCACCAAGUCUAUCUCACUUUAGGAAACUUACUUACCAUAUUUUGGUCUCCAACUUUACCAUAUAGUUCUUAGUCCAAAAUCACAUGAAUCAGCCGCAAAUGGGCUCCAAACUGAGCAACUUUCACUGAAAUUCAGUUUUCAAUAACUGAAUAUAAUUCAGUUUCAGCCAUAAACAGUCCAACUUUGAGCUAGUUUUACUCUACUUUUCGUGCAGGAUCAUGCUAUACCCACUUACUGAAAAUUAUUCACCAUCAUAUGGUCAUUAUUUCAUCUACAAACACCAUAGCCUAAAACCUUAUAAGCUAGCCACAAACCAGCUUCCAAACUGCUAUCAAAACACUGAAAUUCAGUUUCAGUUACUGCUUCCAAUCUGAAAAUUCAGAAUACAGCAGCACCACUUAGAACCACUCUUUUUCCUGGGUUCCAAAUGUUUUUAGGGGCAAGUUGCUUAAUAAAGUUUAUACUCCUAUAGUUCCUCUACAACUUUGACAUAGUGAUCCAUAUCUAAACCCUCACAGACUCCAAACUACAGAGGUCCAAAGUUUGCCCAAAUUACUGAAAUUCAGACUCUGAAUUCUACCAAGUCUGAAAUCCAGAAACUCUGUUAGCUCUACUUUGGACCAGUUUUUCUCUAAGUUUCAAAUAUCUUUAGAGCUAGGUGACUCCACCAAACUUAUACUCCUCAUGUAGCUCUAUAACUUUGUUAUAAGGACCAUCUUCAAAAUGCUUAUAGAUCAGAAUUUAUAAGGGUUCAAAGUUGGCUAGUUUAUAUUAAUUUCAGAAGUUCCAAUUUGAACCCAAAACUGAAUUUCUGCAAAUUACUCCAAAUUCUUCCACACAACUUGGGAAUAUCCAAAUAUAAAAGUUGUUCACCUUUUCCAAACUCUACAACUUUGGCACUUUGACUUUUGCCCAAUUGUCUCUAGAUUUUGAAUUCCACUUUUAGGGCAAAUUUAGGGUUUCAAAUAUGGUUCCUUCUCAUCUAGUGAUUUACCAACUCAAUUCAUCCUCCUAAAAGAUGAGUGACUCCUUAAUCUCAAAUCAAACUCUAGUAUAUGAAGCUCAUGUCCAAAUUGUCCCUGGUUUAGGAGUUGUUUUGUUCAUCCACAAUUCCAAGCAAGGUUUUUCAACCUAAGUCCUAUACUCAACACACCACAUCACACUUUUGAAUCGAAAAUUUUAACCUAAUAAAUGCAUUCUAAGUGUAACAAGCAAGUUAAUGCAAAUGCUUAUGAUGACAUGUCAGAGUUUUAGUUCACGUAAUACCAGGGGUGUUACAGCCUUCCCCCCUAAAAGAAAUCUCGUCCCGAGAUUUAAAAAUCUAGACUUAGUAACGGAAAAGGAAACACGUCACUGACUUAUUUCCUAAUUUCUCUUACAAGGCAGGGGAGGUGUUCUGUUUCGCUUAACCAUGAGUUAACCACGAUGUCGCUCGACAUUUGCACUCGUCUCCGAUGCUGCGAACUUCCAAUGAUGACUCGGCGAUAAAUCUCUUUUUGUGUGUUUUACUCAAGAUGUUGCAUCUAAUUUGCUUUGGAUAAUGUUUAUCCAAUUUUCCAUUUCUUGUUCAACAGACUCACAUGGGAAAUCAUGAUGGUACCAUCUCAUCACGAAACACAACCAGAAACUAUGGUACCAGCGUGUGCCAAGUCAUUUAUCCAUACACGUGCAUUCACAGGGAAUAUCCAAAGGAAUAGCCAUUUUAACUCUUGGAAUUCGACAAACGGCUAUAGAUAUUAACAGUUGCCUCUGAAACAGGCAGUUCUUUUUUUACAUCAUAGCCAUAGGCAAACUCACAAGUUACCUGAUCCAGGUGAAACAGGAAAAACUCUUUACAACAAAGUUUAACCUGUUUUUACUAGCUAACAUUGCCAUAUGGGUCUACCUUACAUCUAGCUUUCAAAACUAAUUUACAUAGGUAUAUUGCCUAACGAGGAUUAAGUUGCCUGCUAUAUCUUCUCCGGUUAUCACAUCUGCCAGAUGUCUGUUUCCAUGCUCCAUAGGUACCUUUUAGUCUGUUGGUGUUGGGGCAGAAUAAAAGGCAACAUUGAGCAUAUGCACCGUUUGUUGCAGAUGGUUGAUCAGUCGCUGCACUGUUUGAAAUUCCAUCGGAUAGGUACGAUGCAACUCCUCGAGCACCUGAUCUUGCUGACCAAGGAAGCCCAUGGUUUCCUUAAGUUCUUCCCUAACAGUAACAACAUACGAGUGAGUUUCUUCUUGUUGCUGACUCAAAACUUUUGAUUUUGAAUGAGCAUUAGUCAGCUGAUGCUCAAGUUCCUUGAUGCGAUCCUGAUCCGCUUUGUGUUGUGCCUGCAGUUCUGCUACCUUAUGCUCUAGUCCAACAAUUCGCUCAACUUGAAUCUUUGUUUCUUUAAGCUGUUCUUGUGCCUGAGUACAAGCCCUAUUCUUGGCCAUUUCCAUCAUCUUAAAUGCUGCAUAACUCCCAGUGUAUAACUGCUGCCACAUUUGACGACUGUGCCCUCGAGUAAGCUACAACUCUAGCACAGCCAUCAAAACCCGAGCAGAUGCCGAUUCAACAGAAUCCUGCCCAAUGGGAAUGCUUUCCAUUAAUCGGGCCUAGUGAUGAUACACAACUGGGUCACUUAAGGCAACUGCAGGGAACAACCUCAUAGACGUCGCUUGUAUUUCUUCCCAUUUCUGGUAACAAAUGGUUGUCAACACCUCUAAGACAGCUACCUCAGCACCUUCCCAAGGAGUCAUUCCUUCGGCAUGGAACAUCCAUUGUGGCCAAGAUGGCUUUCUAGCACGUUCUGGAAUACGCACUACGACCUCAUACCAUGGUUGUCCUCUAAGAAUAGUGCGCGACCACUGGUACUUGGGUGCUUCGGUAUAUCCAACUUCUUGAAGUAGUCGCCAUAGGACCAUAGGAACACCGAAAUCUCGUAGAAACUCUCCAACUCCUGUAGGCGCUUCUUGUUGAUUCAUCUAUAGAGAAAAGCAAUAGAUACACUCUAUUCACUAAAGAUGUAUGAACAGGGUAUAUGAAACACAUACUAAAAUAGCUACACAGGGGGUUUAACUUAAAGUUGUAUGACAUGAUGCAUGCUCGUCCUAUUCGUCCUUGCAACUCUUGCCAACAUAUAGUGGCUAUCACGUUUUAUGGCGGUGGCAUACCUACUCACUCCGUCAUUUAUCACUAGUCGCACUUUCCUAGGGUUUAGUUAGUGUACCUGCAGAAAAUUGCAUUAUAGUUGUGGGUUAGUGGUUAGCAUCCUAAACUAAGCCACCUUAUAGUCCUUAACUUAACCAUAUACUAUUUGCACUUUGACUAUCAGAAUUUGAUCAUAGAUUCUUAAGUUUUUCCAAAAUAGUUUGGACUCGAAAUCCUUUUGAAGUAUAUCAACAGAUUACUUUAAUAUCCAUGCUAAUGGGGGAUCGCUCCGAUACCAAUCUGUGACAGCCCUCCCAAGUUAUCAGGCCCACGUGCACCAAUCCUUGCCUGGAUGGCCUCAGAUGGUUAUGCACGUGUACCAGGUAACUUAACAAGGCUAUCACGAGUUCAACAACUUGAACUCAUCAUCCCAAAGAUCUCCCACCAUACAUGCAUAUUACAGUAAUCACAUUCGAUACACACACUUCGGAGAUAAGAGCGGAAGACUUUACAAACAUUCUUUACCUUUUCAAAACUCAAGUUUUACAUGUUUCGAAAGAGUAAUAUUUAUUACAAGUCCUGAUAUACUCAGAGUGCAUAACUUAUUACAAAAGCAGGAAGGUAGAAACCCUCCAAAGCUUAUACAUAAACCUAGCUAGUCCUUCUCCAGAACUGGAAACGCCCUCCAGCCACAGGAACUCCUAGAAUACUCCUCAUCACCUACAACAACAUGGGUUCGAAAACCCUGAGUACGGAGUGUACUUUCGCAAGUCUUACCCGACUAAGGAAAAAGACUCUCAAGGAUAUGCUGGAUUUAGGAAUCAAGGAGAGGCUUUUAGCAAGAAUCAACUUAGAUACUUUUGCAGAAAAAGCUUACUAAAGUGAGUCCUUACUUUCAAUAUUUUAAUGCCAGAUUAAAUAUUAAUAGACUCUGUUUGCAUCUAGUCUAAUUUCACCAUCUCAUCAAUACAACAUCAUUUUUAUUCAUAAUGUUCACAUCCUGACUUAGGUUGCAGGGCAGCGAUCAAGUCUCCACUCUCCGGGGAUAUAACGGCGAUCCGAAUCGAUUUACUCAGCUGAGGAUCUCUAACCACAUGACAUAUGUAGCACUUAACCCUUGCAUAUGUCAACCGUUCCCACAGAUCCUCCACAACGUGAACCGGUCCGCGCUACCCGGGAGCACAGUACUCCUCCGUCCAGCCUCCAGCCAGGAGGGUACACGCUACUCCCACCAUCUCCCACGCCCAGUGCGCGGUUGUCUUUUCACGUAUGGAAUAGCCGGGUUCAAGCUUACCCUGUCCCAUAUCCAGGGCAUGUAGCCAGUUAAGAUAGUCCUUGAUCAUACAGGCCUACAUACGCAUCCAAUCCUUAAUUAACCUGGGUGGAGCAUCACCUGUUCCUAGCCCAAGUCUCGAUUUAAGUAUUUCCAUCCUUAGGAUUGUUUUGUGUUCCUUGGGAUGAGAAGAGCAUUACAGGGAACUUUGCAGUAAGAUCCCACCAUGCUCCCAAUGAAAAUAUUCUUGCAGGUAGAAGCCAUCCUUCCUCAGGACAACCCCUGAGCUAGGCAUUAUUGCAAAAGACAACUUCUAUCCACAAGAUCUAAGCAGGGCUAAGCAUUUUUGUAAACAAUAUUUGAUACUUCCAAAGAAGUAUCUAUAACAGGAAUGGAUAUCAAGGUAGUCAAUGCAUCAAAUAGUUUUCAAGCAACUCCUAUAACUUAAUGCACAUUUCACUAGACUUAAAGUGUAUAAAAGUCUUUUAAAAAUACAAGGAAAGGGGUAAAUGCACCGGGGCUUGCCUUUGUUGCAGUGAAGAGGUUCUAGAUCCCUCUACCCAACCAUCGAUUAGAUAGCUCCAUCCUCUUAAUGAGAAGACACUGGAGUAGACUCCUCUUUAGCAACCACUUCAUCUUGAAUCUUCACUCUUUGUUUUGGGAGCUCUACAUGAACAUGAAUGCUUAUGCUUAUGCUGUUUGCAAAUAAAAUACUAUAAAACAUCACAAGACUAUACUUUUUCUCAAUUCCACAUGAGGGCUCGACAUACUCCCCUACUAGGAGUUGUUCCUCUAUAAUCACUCUUUAUCUUUGUUUCAAUGGCUACUAGCUGACCCCAAACACAUCUCAAGUUGAACACCAAUUUGAGGUGAAAACACAAAAACUCAAAUUCAGGUAUCUGAAAAAGAACUGAACCGAAUUCAGUUUUAGAUACUGAAAGUUUACACAGUCGACACCACAACCAAUAUUCAGUCUCCAUUUCCCCUCAUUUUCAUUCACAUACACAAGUGAGAGCAGCAGGGGUGAUCUUCGUUAGUUUUCAAACGAAAGACUGAACCCACUUACCUUAGGCCUGCUGCCCCAUCUACACACCUCCCUGUUAAAGUCCCUGGUAUCUUAUAAUUUCAUAUGGUACAGACCAAAACUUCUUAGCCAAAGUUAUACUCCAACUUUAGCUUUACCAACUUGGUAUAACAACCCAUGAUUGAAAACAUUCAGAGCAAAUUCUAUUGUACCCCAAAGUUACCCCCACACUGAACUGCUAUUUCAGCUAACUGAAUAAAAUUCAGUCACAAUCACUCUGACAGUCCAGUUUUGGACAGCUGUUAUUUCCUACUUUAUGUGGAUUCAAGCCUAACUUACUUAAAGGGAUUUGUUCCUUAUAACAUGGUCUUGAACUCCUCUUCAUAAAUCAUGGUUCAAAACUGCAUAGAAUAGGCAGCACACAGCCCCAAAACUGCACUAAAAAUCCUGAUUUCAGAUACUAUUCACAAAUCUAAAAAAAAAUCCAGAAGUCUGACAGAGAAGAUUUGGACAUGUUUUACUCCCAAUUUUAUGCAGCACCUAGCCCAUCUCUCUUUAGUAAUCUUGUUCAUCUUACUAUGGUCUUCAAACUUGCUACAGAACUUUGGCCCAAAACCAAAUAGACUAGGCGCAACAGAGCUCCAAAGUUAGGCUCAACACACUAAAACCUAGUUUCAGCCUUAUGCACUAAGUCUGGGAUCCAGAAACCUGACAGCCUGUGUUUGAGCAAAUUUCACACCUAGUUCCAGACAACCAAUAGUGGUAGAGUUCAAGCAGUAAAUGGUGUGAGCUCCACUGACCUGAGAUGAUUACGGAACAAGCUUCAUACGGGCCAGCAACUCCUUAGGACGUCCAAGCCAUGGCGAGGUGGGAGAACUGCUGGCGCGGCCACUAGCACAGGGGAAUGGCGUGCGAUGAACUGGAGAGGGCUACAGAGACCUGCAGACUUUAGGAUCACCACCCAAAGCAGUGAACCAUGGCUAGACUCGAGGCAAGGAGGAGAGCUUCACUGAACCUGCACCUAAGGCACUGCAGAUGUAGGAAAGUGUUCACUGAACCACUACACAACUCAGUGGGGAAGUCUUCUGGGGAUGCCAGCACUGCAUGGCUAACACACAUGGCUCCCAUGCACAAACCUUGCUGGCACAGCACACAACUCACAAAUAUCACUAAAACACUGAAUCUGGUCUAUUUGAUAUGGAUAAGGAGCAAGCAGUCAAAACUGCACCUACAAACAGACACAUUCCAGCUCACCUUGAGACUUAUUAAUGGGGAGCGAGACUUCUAGUCCUCAAUGAUGCACUUCAUCCAUAUCCCAUACUCAGCUCACCAGUAUCCCAUAUCGCAGACAACAAACAAAACCAACAAAUACUCUACUGCCCACUGCUCACUGCUAAAAUAUCCCACCUAUUCACUGGAUAUGGACAGAGGUAAAGGCAGAUAAAAAAACCCCACGGUAGACAGGCUCAAACACAUCCAAAGGUUUGAUAUUUUCUGCAGGGGGAAAAGAUAUUCUUUAGAUAUUUUGGGAAUCUCUGAAUUGCUUUAGCUGGUCUGAUCCUCCCUGUUCAGCCCCACUUUUCUCCCCAUUCCUGUUAAGGAUAGAUCAGUCCCCUAUAAUCAAACUUGUUCACUAUCUGAGGCACUUCAAGUUUGUUUCAAGAAUCUAGGAUCCAAACUGCAUGUACUACAAGUUAUAGUGUCCAAGAAUCAGCCACCUUCCACUAAAUCUGUUUUCAGUUUUCUGAAACAGACAUCUCUCACAGACAUUUAGGCACGUUUUACUCUAAAUUUUACUUAGCAUCAAACCCACCUUCCUGUCGAAAACUUGUUCUCCUAACACCCAUGUAAACUUUUGUCACAGGGUCUUUGGCUUAUACCCACACAGAUCAAGAGUUCUGGCAUCCCAAAGUUGAGCCAAAACACUAAAAUACCCAGUUUCAAAAGUCUGAAACAGCACAGUUUAAGUCUGAUAGAGGGUUUUGCCUUCCCUUUUUCUCCAAACUCUACACAGUAACAAGUCAAUCCUUUGCAUAAAAGUUGUUUCCCUUCAUAUGGACCUUGACUUUACUACAGAACUCUUAACCAAAAUCUCCAUAUAUUAAUUAUCAUAGAGCUCCAAAACUGGGUAAAAACUCACUGAACUUCUCAGUAACAGUCAACUAAAUCAGUCCCAACUCAAUUCUGACAGGGGAAGUUUGAGGGUAUUUUACUCCCAACUUUAUAUAGCACCAAGUCUAUCUCACUUUAGGAAACUUACUUACCAUAUUUUGGUCUCCAACUUUACCAUAUAGUUCUUAGUCCAAAAUCACAUGAAUCAGCCGCAAAUGGGCUCCAAACUGAGCAACUUUCACUGAAAUUCAGUUUUCAAUAACUGAAUAUAAUUCAGUUUCAGCCAUAAACAGUCCAACUUUGAGCUAGUUUUACUCUACUUUUCGUGCAGGAUCAUGCUAUACCCACUUACUGAAAAUUAUUCACCAUCAUAUGGUCAUUAUUUCAUCUACAAACACCAUAGCCUAAAACCUUAUAAGCUAGCCACAAACCAGCUUCCAAACUGCUAUCAAAACACUGAAAUUCAGUUUCAGUUACUGCUUCCAAUCUGAAAAUUCAGAAUACAGCAGCACCACUUAGAACCACUCUUUUUCCUGGGUUCCAAAUGUUUUUAGGGGCAAGUUGCUUAAUAAAGUUUAUACUCCUAUAGUUCCUCUACAACUUUGACAUAGUGAUCCAUAUCUAAACCCUCACAGACUCCAAACUACAGAGGUCCAAAGUUUGCCCAAAUUACUGAAAUUCAGACUCUGAAUUCUACCAAGUCUGAAAUCCAGAAACUCUGUUAGCUCUACUUUGGACCAGUUUUUCUCUAAGUUUCAAAUAUCUUUAGAGCUAGGUGACUCCACCAAACUUAUACUCCUCAUGUAGCUCUAUAACUUUGUUAUAAGGACCAUCUUCAAAAUGCUUAUAGAUCAGAAUUUAUAAGGGUUCAAAGUUGGCUAGUUUAUAUUAAUUUCAGAAGUUCCAAUUUGAACCCAAAACUGAAUUUCUGCAAAUUACUCCAAAUUCUUCCACACAACUUGGGAAUAUCCAAAUAUAAAAGUUGUUCACCUUUUCCAAACUCUACAACUUUGGCACUUUGACUUUUGCCCAAUUGUCUCUAGAUUUUGAAUUCCACUUUUAGGGCAAAUUUAGGGUUUCAAAUAUGGUUCCUUCUCAUCUAGUGAUUUACCAACUCAAUUCAUCCUCCUAAAAGAUGAGUGACUCCUUAAUCUCAAAUCAAACUCUAGUAUAUGAAGCUCAUGUCCAAAUUGUCCCUGGUUUAGGAGUUGUUUUGUUCAUCCACAAUUCCAAGCAAGGUUUUUCAACCUAAGUCCUAUACUCAAC
rnacentral:lncRNA from 1 species